GUCUUCUUGUUUGAAUAAGAAGUCUGACCUGCCCGGUGAUAUAUAAUUUUAACGGCCGCGGUAUUUUUGACCGUGCAAAGGUAGCAUAAUCAUUAGUCUUUUAAUAGGAGGCUGGCAUGAAGGGUUUGACGAGGAGUUGACUGUCUCAUUUGAUCUUAUUUUAGAAUUUAACUUUUCAGUUAAAAGGCUGAAAUUUCAUUGGAAGACGAGAAGACCCUAUAGAGUUUAAUAAUUAAUUUUAUAAUUAUAUAUCAUAUUUAAUUUAUAUGUUUAAUUAUUUUGUUGGGGUGACAAAAAUAUAUAAUUAACUUUUUUAUUUAUUUAUCAUUGAUAUAUGUACUUAAGAUCCAAUCUUAUUGAUUGUUAGAAUAAGUUACCUUAGGGAUAACAGCGUAAUCUUUCUUUGGAGUUCUUAUUUACAGAAAGGCUUGCGACCUCGAUGUUGGAUUAAGAUAACAGUUAGGUGUAGCCGCUUAAUGUGUAGGUCUGUUCGACCUUUAAAUUCUU
rnacentral:rRNA from 1 species